rnacentral:misc_RNA from 1 species
GUUGGUAUGAAAAAUUAUUUUAUUUCUAUAUUUUAGAUACAAGAAAUUUUAUAACAAAUGUGGCACAUCAUUAGGAUACGGUUGGGACAACUAAUUAUCGUGACCUGUAGGUUUGGCUACUGACUAUUAAUAACCAAUAGAUCAACCAUUGACAAAUCCAAAAAAUACAAAUUCUCACCAACUUUACAAGUCAUGAUGUGCUAAGCGAAAGAACAACAUAGAGGCUAAAAGAGUUGAGCAAGGCAAUAACAUUUAGGAAAACAACUUGAGUCGAGAACAUGACCCCAAUCUUAGAAGAUGAUUUCACUUGCAUUUCUCCUUCAAGAACAAAAAGCAAAACUCCUGUAAUAAAUAUUCUACAAUAGGGCACUAUUUGGUAUUUCUGCAUCACAAACUUCUUACAAUCUAUUGCUGUAAACAGAACAUGUAUAUAACUCAUCUUCCAGGGAAAAAAAACUGGAUUAAAAAUCUUAAUCAUGUUAUCAGCUUUCCUUCAUGCCCAUGUCACUGAAGUUAGGAUCUCAUCUGACUAGUACAUUACAGCAAACAACUGAAUUCAAAGCUCUAUUUGAGACUACGAUGCAUUUUUUUGUACCGUUCACCAGCUGCUCAACUGUUUCUUAAGUUUCGAAUUCUGAGAGGAUUUACCACCCUUGUCCUUAUAGGAAUUUCUGGAGGCAAGACUCCUCCGUCCCCCUCGAACUGAUGCUAUGGCACGUCUUCUCUGCUUGUUAAGACGCUUGACCAAUUCAACAUCACCUGUAUUUAGAGUCUGACUUUCUUCUUCCUUGUCACUUGCUUCUUCUGAUUCAGACCCAUUGUUUUGACCUGUUUCACAGCUCUGUUGAUUCUCAUAUACUUUGCCCUCUUCAAUAAAGUUCGAAGUAUUUUCCUCCUUCUCUAGCAAGUGCAAAGAAUCUAAAGUCCUCUUGAUUGUUUCACUCGACUCGGAUUCAUGUUCUUCAUCUUCAGUUCCUUCAGUGUCAGAGCUUCUAUCCUUCUCAAUCCCACCUUCAAUGAACUGUAAAAGAAAAAGAUAAUAAAAGAACAGCAUUGUAUUGAAAAGUGGCCAUGCAAAAUCACGUAGAAGAGCUUCAUUUAACAGUGCAUAAAUCACAAGAUAAACCUAAAAUACCAAUGCUAAACUAUGAAAAAAACCGGCGGAAUGAAAAUAUCAAAAUUCAUGUGAAAUUAUAUUAUUAUCUGAAAACCUAUAACUUGCAGUGUGGUCAAAAUUCCUAAAACCAAUAACUAGAAUUCAACAAGUACAGGUUACAGAUGUAAGGUUGAGAAGAACAUAAAACUAAGAAGGGUUUGCAGGUGAGGGCAGGGAAUGCAAUGCUUUUGUAAAUGCUCAUAAAUAUAAUGGAUGGAAUGUUAAUUUUUUAAAGUUUGAGGGUGCCACCUCCCUCUCCCCUCUUCUUCGCAAAAGCUGCAUCUAGUUUUGUUCCAGCACAAAGAGUGCAAGGGUUUUUUCCUAUAAAACUAGAAUCCCUUAUCUUUCCACAGGAUAUGGAAGAACUGAAAGACUUAAACAUUAAGGAAGAAUUGUCACAGUUAAUGAGAACAACACAGAAGAAAGCCAAGACUGUGGAUAUACAACAUGAACAAAAAUACAAGAAAAUACAUUAAAAGUUUCAUGAAAUCAUAAAUGAAAGCCACAAAGAAACUGAAGAGAGAGAAGGGAUGGAAGGAGGAGUAGCAAUGAUUCAUGCAUGAGUACCCAAGAGGACUGAUUUAUUGCAGGAGACACUUUAACUGAAGUCAGAUGCAUAGAAAAGUUCUUCCAGAGUACUCUGGCCAAUGCAUGCCUAUGAGUGUGACGUAUGAAAGGUUGGACAAGCCAUAUAAUGUUUGAACAUAAAAAGAACAUUAAGAUUUUAUGAAUUAAGAACAAUUAGUAACACCACCAAAACCAGAGAGUAAAAAUACAAGAAAUCAAAACCCAGCCCACCCAAGUAUGGAAAUUUAAUAACACUCAAGACGUGCUUCACCAUACUUUCUCUAUGUCAUCCUGAUCUUUCCUUGAAAAUCCACUGGCAGAAAGUUCCUUGUCAAGAAAACCAGCUGAUUUUGAUAUAGAAGAAAAGGUAGGUCUUCCAUUUUCAUCUGAAUCUACAUCUGAACCAUCAUUUUCAUCUGUGUGUUCUUUAAAGGACAGGUUAUAUCUCUUACUAAAAAACUUAAAGAUGCAUUCAACAUCACGCUCAAAAUACAUUUGAGCAUUUCGAUGUGACACAGACACCAUCUGAGGAAAAUCAAUCAUGGUGACCUUCUCAUCAUCAUCAAUCAUAAUGUUAAAUUCAUUGAAGUCGCAGUGAAUGAGGCCAUGUUCUGCAAGACGAACAACAAGGCCUAUUAUUGUUUCAAAAACUGUUUCUGGAUUCUGCAAUUGCUUCACCUGCACGCUGAUUGCAAGGGAAUAACUGAUAAAUCAAUUGCUUAUAGAUGAUAAAUCAAUUGCUUAUAGAAGACAAAUCCUAGUUUAGCAGGAUAAACCCAAAAGAUGGACAGCUAUACAGAAAGACCAUAGAAAGACAUAAGAAAAGGUCAGAAAUAACCAUUGCAUACCUGAUAUUAAACAGAACCUCCUCACUUAUUAUUACAGAAAUUUGAUCCAACAUAUACUUUCCCAUCUUCUGGUAAAGCAUUUUCUUCAACUUCUCAAAAUUCUUAAGAAUCAAUAUUAAAAUUUACAAGAAAAAUCAUCAUUUUUUAUGUUGAUCAAAUAACCAUGGCUAGUUAUAUUACAUAUUUAGUUGUCAACAACGACAAAUAUCUCACAAUAAGAUUAGUGUAACAAUACAAAAUAAGUAUAAAAAAUAAAUAAUAUGGUAGAAAUUUUUAAAAACUAACCAAGGCUAAGCAUAGAUAAAAAUCAAGCUAGCUGGGGAAUAUGGGGGUGCAUGCAAUGGAAAAAUUAAAUACUGAGGAAUGAAAAAUGAUCAUAACAAUAAAUGAUGGACGUUAACUUACAGUGGGUAACCUUGAACAAGUGACAUAACCACACAAUGCCUAUUACAGUCCACAGCUUUUGGAACAGGAAAACCAUGUUCUUCCAAAGCCUUCAUAAAGGCAAAUUCUUUUAGUGCAGCAAGUCGGGAUAAGUAGAGCCAAUUAUAACUACUGCGGUGCCGCAAGUAAUCACGCUUAGACUUGACAGCCCUGAAAGAAAUUCUGCCAAGUCUGUGCAACUUCAUUGCCAAUACUGUGCCAUCCUCUGUAGCAACCUCAAAUAUAUCAGACUCCUUUCCAACUCCAAUUUGACGACCAACAGCAGCAAAUACUCCACGAUUGACCAUCGUUUUAAUUGCAAGGAAAUCAUAGCCAAGGUAGGUGAGACGAAACCCAUCAUAUUUGGAGGAGUCAUGGUGCAGCAGCUUAUGCUUGAGCAAGUUUUUUAAAACCUUGUAUGUGCCUCCAUGCUUGAGAGAAGCGAUACGGUCAAUGAGCUCUGUAGGUACAAUUUCAUGAUUUCUCAUGCCCAUCUCAACAGCAGUGAGAACCCUAAAAUCAUCUUUGGAGAGAUAUCUUAAGACAUCCACGUCCAAUUUCAUCUUUGUUUACCUUAUUUCUGUGACAGGGAAAACCGUAGCAGGAGGCAGCGCAAGCACAAUCGCAGUCUUUGUAGGAAGGAGAGAGCCCAGAUUCACCUUUGAUUGAGGUCACCGGACACAAUUCAAAGGACAGUGUGGCCGUGCACGUUGCCGGAGCAAGGGAGGGAGGCAAAGUUAGAAUCGUUGAAGUCGUCUGGAGAGAGGGAGGCGAGAGGAGAUUAGAUGCUAUGAUAGCUAGGGACAGAGGCAAGGAGAGACUUGGGCUGGGGGUUAGAAUUUGCAGGGUUUAUGCCUUGUUUGGGUGGG